UAUAACCUAUGUAGCAAACCUGUACACGUACCCCUGAACUUAAAAUAAAAGUUAAAACAAAAUAAAAAAGAAGAUUUAAGGUUGGGACUAAACUCAGAACAAGAAAGAAGAAGCAUCUGUUGACAAGGCACAAUUUGAAAUUAGAGAGCUAUUUGUAAUUCUCUAUUCAUGUAAAGAAUGAUUGGAGUUUUUCUCUCUCUUUCUCUCUUGCUUGCCCCCCACCCCCACCACCACCCUGAGCCUGGGAAAUUAUUUUAGUGAGUUUGAGCUGUUAUAACCAACAUUUAAAAUAGCUAAAAUUUAUGUGGCACCCAUGGAAGACACAAUUUUUAGAGCAUGCAUAUUGUAAUUAUGAGGUUUGCUUAUUAAUCUUGAAAAUAUGAGAACCAAAGGGCAAAUUAUUUUACUACAUAUUUCUUCUCACUCCAAGGUCGUCAUGGCUGCCUCACUGUGCUCAGCAACUACAGGCAGAGUCCACCCCAUAUGAUCACUUUCUCAGUCUUCAUUAUCUGCCUGCAGGGCUCCUGCCAGUCAAAGUCAUUAUGCAGAAUUCCAGAUACUCAAGGUUGGAGAGCUACUAACCCAGUACAUGAAUUCCCAGUGUAUCUUUCAGUGUUCUGAACCUGUAUUUUACAUUUUCAGAAAAGUUGACCACAGAAGCAUGUUUAUAUUGUAUUAAAACAAACUAUUUUUCUGGAAAGUUUUCCCAUUAAGCGUCUAACCUCCAAGCAUCGAAUCCCAGGCCAAUUUGUUUCAAAGUACCAACCUGGAGAAAAUGCCCUGGAUUUGGAAGCAAAGUAUUGAAUGUUGGAAGUCUGAAUAAAGGAAUCAUACACUGUAUGUGCACCUGAAUGUACUUUACAAGCAUCAGUAGAACACUUCUGAUUGAAGCUUGGUCUUAUGAAGAUAAAAAUUUUAUGUGGACCACAGAUUCUCUAAAAAUCAAACUCCAAGUAGGAUCAACACAAAGACACCCACAUUCAGGUACAUCUUGUCAAAUGUGGAAAGGCAAGAAUGAAAUGAAAUGUUGACAGCAAGAGAAAAACAUCCCUUUAUAUACAGAGGAACCCCAGCAACAGUAACAGCUGAAUUCUUGUCAAAAGCAAUGGAGACCAGGGCUGGGAGUGGUGGCUUGCACCUGUAAUCCUAGCACUUCGGGAGGCCAAGGCAGGUGGAUCA
rnacentral:lncRNA from 1 species